rnacentral:rRNA from 1 species
GACGAAUGCUGGCGGCGUGCUUAACACAUGCAAGUCGAACGGAAAGGCCCUGCUUUUGUGGGGUGCUCGAGUGGCGAACGGGUGAGUAACACGUGAGUAACCUGCCCUUGACUUUGGGAUAACUUCAGGAAACUGGGGCUAAUACCGGAUAGGAGCUCCUGCUGCAUGGUGGGGGUUGGAAAGUUUCGGCGGUUGGGGAUGGACUCGCGGCUUAUCAGCUUGUUGGUGGGGUAGUGGCUUACCAAGGCUUUGACGGGUAGCCGGCCUGAGAGGGUGACCGGCCACAUUGGGACUGAGAUACGGCCCAGACUCCUACGGGAGGCAGCAGUGGGGAAUAUUGCACAAUGGGCGGAAGCCUGAUGCAGCAACGCCGCGUGCGGGAUGACGGCCUUCGGGUUGUAAACCGCUUUCGCCUGUGACGAAGCGUGGGUGACGGUAAUGGGUAAAGAAGCACCGGCUAACUACGUG